rnacentral:rRNA from 1 species
UACAGAGGUCUCAAGCGUUGUUCGGAUUCAUUGGGCGUAAAGGGUGUGUAGGUGGCGCCGUUAGUCGGGUGUGAAAUUUCGGAGCUUAACUCCGAAACUGCAUUCGAUACUGCGGUGCUUGAGGACUGGAGAGGAGACUGGAAUUCAUGGUGUAGCAGUGAAAUGCGUAGAGAUCAUGAGGAAGACCAGUGGCGAAGGCGGGUCUCUGGGCAGUUCCUGACACUGAGACACGAAGGCCAGGGGAGCAAACGGG